rnacentral:lncRNA from 1 species
GCUUUAUGAAAAGAGGGCAGCUUUCUGAAAAUUAUUUUCAUACAGGUGCCAGAAAGAGCAGAGUCUCUUCUCUGGGGGAGGUGGCAGCUACUCCUUCUCACAUAUUGCAAGUGAGAAAGUCAAGGCACAUCUCUAAAAUGGACACCCAAAAGAAACCAAGCAAACCAGAGCUCAAAGGAACUGUAACUUAUGCGGGUUGUGGAAGGAAGUGGCAGAUCAGAGUGGUAAGUAAAAAAAACCAUAAUCAAAUCCACUAAUAACAGCAGCAUUAGGAGCCCAAUCAAGAAAAGGAAAUCCAGGAGAAAGUUCAAUGGGGCUUAACUACGACUGUUGGAAUUACAGAGCCUACUAGAAAAGUUAAGUGAGAAAGUCAGUGAGAUGCACUGCUUGAUUCCCUAACUGGCUCUAGCAUCACUCUUCUUUCUUUCUUCUUCUUUUUUUCUAAUGUUUAUUUUUGAGAGAGAGAGGGCAAGCAGGGUAGGGGCAAAGAGACAGGAGGACAGAGGAUCAGAAGCAGGUUCUGCGCUGACAGCAGAGAACCAGAUGCGGGACUGGAACUCACUGUCAGAUCAUGACCUGAGCCAAAGUCAGAUGCUCACCCAACUGAGCCACCCAGGUGCCCCAGCAUUGCUUUUCUUUAUUGCAUGACACAUUUCCCGAGUAACUCAGGCUUAUUUGACAAAAUAAUAAUUCCUCUCUCCCUAUCUUCUUCGUCUCCAAUUCCACUUCCCAGGGGUUCCUCCUUAAUAAUAGUUUGAUGUGGGGGGGGCGGUGCCUGGGUGGCUCAGUUGGUUAAGCAGCAAACUCUUGAUUUCGGCUCAGGUCAUGAGCUCAUGGUCUGGAAUUGGAGCCCUGCAUCAGGCUCUGAGCUGACAGUGCAGAUUCUCUCUCUCUCCCCCUCUCUCUCUGCCCCUCCACUGCUUGCACACACUCUUUCUCUCUCUCAAAAAAAUAAACAGUAAAAAAUAGUUUCAUGUGGGGGCGCCUUGGUGGCUCAGUCGGUUAAGUGUCCAACUUCAGUUCAGGUCAUGAUCUCACGGUUUGUGGGUUUGAGCCCCACAUCGGGCUUGUGCUGACAACUCAGAGCCUGGAGCCUGCUGCUUCAGAUUCUGUUUUUCCCUCUCUCUCUACCCCUCCCCUGCUCCUGCUUUGUCUGUCUGUCUGUCUCUCUUUCAAAAGUAAAUAAACAUUUUUAAAAAUUUGAAAAUGGGAGACUCUUAAAAACUGAGAACAAACUGAGGGUUGAUGGGGGGUGGGAGGAAGGGGAGGGUAGGCGAUGGGCAUUGAAGAGAGGGCAUCUUUUGGGAUGAGCACUGG